AUGGCGACCACGGCAGCCGACGCCACGGCCGCGGCGCCCAAGGAGCAGCCCGCCAGCACCGGCGGCGAGCAGGUCACGCGUCACUCCGAGGUCGGCCACAAGAGCCUGCUCCAGAGCGACGCCCUCUACCAGUACAUCCUGGAGACGAGCGUGUACCCGCGCGAGCACGAGUGCAUGAAGGAGCUCCGCGAGAUCACCGCCAACCACCCAUGGAACCUGAUGACGACGUCGGCGGACGAGGGCCAGUUCCUCAACAUGCUGCUCAAGCUCAUCGGCGCCAAGAAGACCAUGGAGAUCGGCGUCUACACCGGCUACUCCCUCCUCGCCACCGCGCUCGCCAUCCCUGAAGACGGCACCAUCUUGGCCAUGGACAUCAACCGCGAGAACUACGAGCUGGGGCUGCCGUGCAUCGAGAAGGCCGGCGUGGCGCACAAGAUCGACUUCCGCGAGGGCCCGGCGCUCCCGGUGCUGGACGCGCUGCUGGAGGACGAGGCCAACCACGGCACCUUCGACUUCGUCUUCGUGGACGCCGACAAGGACAACUACCUCAACUACCACGAGCGCCUCAUGAAGCUCGUCAAGGUCGGCGGCCUCCUCGGCUACGACAACACCCUCUGGAACGGCUCCGUCGUGCUCCCCGCCGACGCCCCCAUGCGCAAGUACAUCCGCUACUACCGCGACUUCGUCCUCGACCUCAACAAGGCCCUCGCCGCCGACCAGCGCGUCGAGAUCUGCCAGCUCCCCGUCGGCGACGGCAUCACCCUCUGCCGCCGCGCCAAGUGA
rnacentral:rRNA from 1 species